UGGAGGAACUUCGGGCAGUCGGUGUUGUUCGCGCGGCUGCUCAGCCAUAUUCCGCCGCCGAGGAUGGGGAUCGACAGGACGAAGGUGAGGAAGUUCAGGGCGCCUAUUAGGUGGUUGCUCGUUCUCAUGGUUGCGGCGGUGGCGGUGGCGGUGGUUGUAAAUUUUGUUGAAAUUUAAUUUUUUCUUACAAGAGAGAGAGAGAGAGUACUGCUGUAUUUAUUGGGGAGCAGAUAUAUAAUGGGAAAAAAGCGUUGGGGGAAAUCAAAAUUUGUGGAAACAGAGAUAAGCAUGCUUUGGUACACAGUUAAUGACUAAAUUACCCUCUGCAGAAUGAGUGAUUUACUGAUUUUGUUUAAAUUUUGGUUUAAUGGCACUUUGCCCCCCAACUAUCGUGUGUUUUGCACGUAAUCUGUGGACAAAAAACAUUUACAACAUUUUACCUAAACUGUGCACGGUGCCUCCGUUUUACCAAUUCAGUUCAUUUCUCGUGCGUCACAUGUCCAUUCACUUCAAGUCUUUUAGGGCAAAAAGAAGAAAAAAACGAGGGGAAAUAGAAGUACGAAUAAAUUUGCAGUGAAUGGACGUUUAUACCCUAAAAAACCCAUAUGCGGACGAGAAAUGAACCGAAUUGGUAAAAUUGAGGCACCGUGCAACAAUUUAACGAGUUCAGGUAAAAUUUUGUAUAUUUUUUUGUUAAAGGGGUAACGUGCAAAGCACGCGAUAUUUUAGGGGGAAAAGCGCCAUUAACCCUUAGAUUUUCGUUGAAAUAAAAUUUUACAAGGAAAUGACUAAAUUACCCUCUGAAAAUUGUUGUAUCCAGCAAAUUCAAUGCAAAUAAGAAGUGUGUCCCUGAAAAUCGAGCAUAUUUCCUGGAAGUAAAAUGUGGAACUAAAAAGGAUAUUUUCAAAAAUUAAAAUUAUUUCCUAUUAAAAACCACUAAAUUGUUUGUGACCCGACCAUACAAAAAUAGUUGCACAUGCAUAUGAGUUUCCCCCAUGCAAAGAAGGUCAAGUGGUCGGUGGUUAGAAACAGUGGGUCCCAUUAAGAAAUCAUUUAAAAUUAUUACUAUGUUGAAACUCUUGCGAUAAUGAUCAAAAUUAAUAAUCUACUCUUUUUUUUUAUAAUUAAAUUAAUAAUCUACUUGAUAAAUAAUAAUACUAUUCAAUAAUUUGAUAUGAAGUUAUCAGCACUUUCAAACCAUAGUUUUGCAAAGACUUUAAGGCGUGUUUGAUGCCUUACAACCUUAAAAAAUUAUAAUAAAAAAAAAUAUUUAGUAAAUAUUGCGUUAUUCAGUACAGUUAUGGUAUACUGGACAUCAAUACCGUACACCGUACUAAUACCGAAAUUAAAAAAAAAAAAUAUCAGUGUUGAUUUAAAUUGUAAUUUAAUUGUACAAUCUUAUUCGAAUCUUAAUUGAAUUAUCAGAUUGGACUUUAAAAAAAAUAUCUAGGCAUCCAUCAAUAGUUAGAAGCCCAAUUCAGAAAACAUAUAUUAUUUAUGGCCCAAAUUUAUCUAUAAAUUAUAGAAAUUCUAGGGCUUCAAAAUCCACAAUUCAGCCGCACAAACCCUAAUAUGAGAUUCACGGCAGAACAAGAAACUGAGAGACACACAAAGCGGCGAGCUUUGGAGCUAUACGUGUUUGUUGUAUCGUUGAAAACUCGAGCAGUUCUCGAUCUUCUUAUGUAAGUUCUUGUAUUAACUGAAGCUUGAAGAUUUUCUAAAUCUGUUUUUUUUUUUUCUUUUGCCAUGCUGAAGCUUUGUGAAUAAAUUUUGUUUUGUUGAUAUGGUGUUUGUGAUUUAGCCCCUUUGGAAUUUAUUUAUAUUAGAAAAGGCUGUGGAUGAAUUAUUUGCAGAAAUUGUUUAUUGUGCAUGCUAGGUGUUUGAUGAAUUGAUUUGUGGUAUUAUUAUUGUAAAAAGUCCAUCUUGGCAAAUCAGUUGAGCCCUUUUAAGGGCAAAUGAGCUGCUUUGAAUGCUAAUGGACUAAUAUUAAAUCUCUCUUUUUCUCUUAACUAUUUUCCGCUUCUUCAAAUCUGUUAAGUUUGCAUAUUAGUGGAAAUGAAACAUAUUAAAAAAAAUAUUGAAUAGUUGUUUGUUGAAAUUGUGAAUCUUUUGUAUGCAAGGUGUUUGAUGAAUUGAUUUUUUGGUGUCGAAUUUAUUUUUUUCUAGUCCAUCUAGGCAAGUCAGUUGAGCCCUUUUAAGGGCAAAUGAGCUGCUUUUGAAUGCUAAUGGACUUACAGCUAAAUCAUCUCUUCAUUUUUGUUCCUCACCACUCACCAGAACACAGUUACCGGUAACCGCCGCCGGCUCGCAUCAACACCACUGCCGCUUCCGGCCGUCCGACGUCCUCAGCGAAUCCCCUAUUCAACUGAAAUCACGCGUUUCACCGUUCGUCGUCAAAUUUUGACCGGAAAAGCGGCGAUCGAACGCUACAGCAGCGGCAAUUGAAAUUUGAGUCUUCAAUUUUAAUGUAAAUGGAUUUCAUCUCACAUUAAGGAUCUAAAAUUGAGUGAAUGUUCCUUACACUAGGUUUUGGGCAGUUGCGAGUUGAGUUUGUUCCCUUCGGGCAUCGAUUUCUAAAUUUAUUCCCAAGCAAUCAUUUUUCUCUGUGGUGGAUUUGAAUAAUUGGAGUUGUUGAUGUGAACUGAGUAGUAUAGCCCAGCUAGAUGGUAUUGCCAUCGGAAGUGGCCCGGAAUUGUGCAUUCAUAUGGAAUUAAGUGUUAGAUUAGAUUACAGCAUUCUACGAUAGAUUAAGAUCGGUGGGAUAACCUUCUCAAUCUGGGCAGGUUGUUUUAUUCUACGUAAAUGCGGGCAUCUCGUUUCCUAGUUUACCAUUGGUUUUUUUUUUGGACAUGUUUUUUUAUGUGUUAGGAGAUGUUUUCAGUGCAUUCAAACGUCUAAUUUGGCGUGCUAUUAAUUUUACAAUUACAAUAUAUGUAAAAUGUUGCAAUUUUAGGAUCCGAUUAUUGAACCCCCUCUCUGGUUUUACUCAAAGUCUCGACUUUGUGUACCUUGCGUGCGAAUCAAAUGAAUUCUUCUUCAUUUUCUUGACAUUUGUGCUUUAUGGCUAGAGCCUAUAGUUGUUGCCUUGUUGGUACAUUACGAUAUUUUGUUAUCUCCCUUAAUGGUGUCUUUGAUCUGGUAUAGUUUGACGAAUGAAAAGGUCGCUCGGGUCCCACUUUUCGAGUUACUCUCUCGUCAACUCUCUUUCCUCUAAAAAAUUUCUUCUCUUUUCUCUCUUGUGAUAUGAUUAUGUCAAAGCUUAAUAUCCAUGGUGGACAAGGAAAACAUGUGUUUGUCUUAAUACUCUGUCUACUUUUCGUCUUAUCGUUUUCUAUAGAACACAUAAUGGCAGCAAGAUGGAAAGGAAAAACAGCCAAAGCAAAAGCCCUAGCGGAGCCCAUACUACAAUAGUUUCUCGGCUCCAAUCCUCUUUGAUUGAAUCCAAUUCUCAAUGAAUCCUUUUAGGGAGCAGCGUUCUUCUUGCAGCACACGAAGAACAAACCGAGCUUUUCAACCACGCGUGUUUCGGCCGUCUCGUUAUCACCACACAGAAGAACAAACAGUGGUUUCAACUAUGCCACGAGGAAGCUUUUUACCUUUUCACCGUAAUGAAAUGCAUCAAGAUUGUAGGUCAAAAUAGCUGCGUAAAAAACAAGGAAGAGCUGUGGGAUUACAUGUCGUCCAAGAGAGUGAAUUUCCCGGUUCUGUAUAAAGCGUAUUCGCAUCUUCGUACGAAGAACUGGGUGGUUAGGGCGGGGUCUCAGUACGGAGUUGACUUUCAUUGCACUCUUCAUCUCAGUGGCAGUGUUGCAAAAACGUUGUUGGUUCUCCACAUUAGCAGAAACUGUAACGAUUGUGACGGUGCUAGUUCUUCUCCUUGGAAUAUUAAUUAUUACAGCGUCGAGGAAAGAAUCGUUGCCAGGUGAAAUCCCGAGCAAAGCCGGGAGAAUUGUACGGUUGCAGAGAAGGAAUCGUGUAAGUCGUCAUAAGCUUAACUUAACUCCUGUUUAUUGUACCAGUUACUAUGUUGUAAGAUUUCGCCAUCUUGUAUAAAUAAGAGAUUGCUGCAGAAAUUGGUCUGCUGAUUUUGGGCAGGAAUCUGCUGCAUGCACUGUAUCUAAGUAAAAGAUUUGCGAGUACAUCCAUAUCAUUUACUAAAUAUUUUAGAUUUUUUUAUUUUACUUUUUAUUUUUUGUUUUUCAUGUGCAAAUGUGAUCAGGAAAAAAAUAUUAUAGAGAAAACAAUAAGGCAAAUUAUGGAUACCUCCCUGAUGUAAGAUCAAAUUACAAAAAACCAUCUUAUUUCAGUACUUACAACUAUCCCCUCAACUAUGUAUAAUCUUACGAAAAACCCCCUCAUUCAGUAGGUAAUCUUGACACCGUAAGGAUGGACGUGUAUUAAAGGGGUGGUUGUAAUUACUCAAAUAUAAGGGGGGUUUUGUAAUUUGAUCUUACUUUAGUGGGGUGAUCAUAAUUUGCCCAAAAUAAUAUAAGUAAAAACCCAAAGAUUAAAUACUCUCUAAAAAUAAAUUGAAUUUGAAGUGAUUAAACAGCAAAAUAUUAAUUAACACUAUUAAUUAAACACCUUUCAUGGAUCCAUGUCUACUCAAUGAUGCAUUGUGCACAUCCAGUUGCUUAUAAACCUAUUUUAAACAUGUAACAGAAUAAACAACACUCUUACGUAGUUUACAUGUGCACCAUAGUUCUUAAACAGUUCCAUUACAAGACACGUCAUCACAUUAAUACAAAAUAUAUAGACAGUGUGUUUUUUUUCUUUCUUUUUUGUUUUUCCGAAAACACCAAAAAAACUGCGAAAUAACUCUACAUACGCGCGUUGCUCGUAAAAAUCUUUAAAAUCCAAACGCACCUCUAGAAAUGUAUCCUACUAGGCUGCGACUUCUCCAUUCUUGUCUCUCCAUAAGGCUCGUCAUUAUCGAUCCUUUUGUUGUGCCUAAAAACAGCACAAGCAUCCACAUAGAGUCUGACGAGGAUUAUCAAGAUAACUAUGUUAAUAACCGACACUUUUCUCCAGCUCUUCUUCAAGCUAGCCACUACCCCAGCUUUGCAAGAAUCGAACCCGUAGCAUAGUUGCUCCUGGUCGUUGCUCCAUUUUGUGCAAUCUGUGUCGGGCCCCACGAGGCCUCCACCUGGCGUCCACACCGUCUCAUUUAUGUACACGUAGCCGCAUGAUGUAGGCGGUUUGCAACAUCCAGACUAGCACAUGUAAAACCAAUGUUAAGCAUGCCAAGCUAAGAGUUAUAUUUGACUUGCCAAAAAAUCUAGAUUUGGUAAAAAAGUCUUCAUGUUAUAAUAUUAGCAAAAGAACCCCAUGGUGCAUUAUCUAGAUUUGCUAAAUGGUGUGUUUAAGGGGGUAGUCUGCUAGUUAAAAAAUAACAUCAUAAAUGAUUUUUGCUAAUAUAUACAUAACACGGAAUCAUAGGGAUGCUAAAUGCAAUAAAUUACCCCGUGUUAUCCUAUUAAGGCCUCGUGUGGUUGUCACAAUGGAAUAAGCCAAGAUAUACACAAUCUUAUUAAAUUCCGGAUUGUAUAACUAGACCAGCGGGUCCCAUUAAGUCAAAAUAAACAGAUAAAGAGCAUGGACGAAACCAAAUAAAAGCCCGUUAAUUAAUCAUGGCACAAACGAGAACUAGUUUCGAGAAAUAGAUACCGAGUGCAUAGAAGCACGAGAUAAGCAAAAAUAGUAUUAUAUGUUAUAUGCUUUCAAAAAAUAGUAUUAUAUGUUAUACCGAGUGCCGCCAACGUCACUUCCCACCUCUUUUUCAUCCAAUCGUUGAUUUGUCCCUUUCCAAUCACAUCCGAAUUGGAUAACUCAGGAAUUGUAGAGUCAUAAAAUUUUUCAAAGACGAGUUCCAACCGUGAUUGUUGGAAGGGCAGGACUUCCGCUAGAGCUCCACCGAACAAGAAGAUUCAGUCCAUCAAUUCUUCAAUAUGUUAUUGUUUUAAUUGUUUUUCUUCUAAUAAAGCUCGGUGAUGGUCGACGCUGUUUGUGUCUAACUUUGUUCAAUUUUUUCCCUUUCUAUAAAAUUUUGGGUCGAUGUUGAUUUCAAGUUCCUCUUCGGGCAAGGUUAGCCCUGACAUUAUGUGAAAUAAAUUUGCAUUUUUUGUGAUCUUUACAUGAAGAUCGAUGAUUUUCUGUGAUGUUUGCUGAUGGGUAGAGUCAUGUUGGUCGUGUGCAGACUUGGGUCGAUGGGAGCUGUUGUUACUGGUAAAGGCCAUGUUCCUAAUGGUUGUGCCUAUUGUUUUUUCGCAGUUUCAUUCGUACCUUUGUUUUGUCUUCUUUUGUCGGCAUGUAAUUUAUUUUCUAAAAUACCAUUUCAAUUUUUUUUUUUUAAAUUAUAUGAAUGGAUUCAGAUUUCAAUGAUCUCAUUUUCUUUUCUAGGUUGCAUGUUGGAUCCACAGAAAACCAAAUUGUUACGAAAUCAACUUCUUGGCUACAUGAUGACAUUGCUCAGGUUAUAAAUCAUGAUUAGCACAUUUAUACAAUAUUUAUCAUAAUUAAUUUGUUGUUCAGUUGUGCAUGUAUUUGAUUCAUAUGCUCACUUGAGAUUGGCAAUAGGGAGGGAUGUUCUCGCAAUUUAUUUGGCUAUUUUGAUUUUUUUUCUUUCACUAAAAGGUUUGAUUUCUCUGCUUCACUGUUUAUUGAAUCUUCAUAAUUACUUCGAGUUGCUAAUUCCUUCUACCUCAUAACGUUUUCGAGAUUAUGCAAGCAAUGCAUUCAUUUUACUGUUCUAAUUCUUUGCAGUCUACUCUAUUGGCUCCUUUCUUGCAGCAACCCCACUUUCAGUAAUUAGUAAUUCUAAUAGAAGAUACGGAAGUCAACACCAGCUCGACCUUCAGUAAUUACUUGUGGAGUUGGUUGGCUGUUAACGAUGAAAACCUAUUAUGAUUCUCUUUUUCCAAUUUUUAAUCAGAUUUCUUAUGAUUCUUAAUGUGAAUUUAGGUGGCCAGAGCUUUGCUUGAUUCUCUUUUUGGCAAUCUCACAGGUUCUAGUACAGUAUAGUAAGAAUCGAUACAAUAUUGCAAUAUUGUAAGAAUUGAUACAUAAACUCAAAAUUCAAAUAAAUCAUCUUGUUUAUAAAAUAUAUCUUUGAAAAAGUGUUUUUGGGUGUAAUAAAACAGAGAAAACGCACGUCUUUUGGCCAUGAAAAAAGCAGGAAGAGGGGGAGUUAUACGGAUAUCAUCAUGUUUCACGAUUUUCUUCUCCUUUUUUAGUAUAUGCAAAAUUAAUUGAAUACUACCACUCUGCAUUUUGGUCAGAAAAAAGGAUAUAAUCCUUUGACCUAUUUGCAGCUUCUUAUUGCAUGUUGUUUGGUUAUGUCGUAAUUAUAUUUAUUACUCAUUCUUAUCUCACUAUACAUCCUUACAUUUUGAAUGUUAGUCUACAUAUUUUUCAGGAAAGACGACACUUAUUCAUUGUUAUGCUUCUUCUCUAUGUUUUACACUGUUGUAUAGGCUGCACGCACUGCGUGGUUUUUUUUACUAGCUACCUAACAUGAUUAUAUUUUUUUCCAAAAACAAAUUUAGCCGCUUGUUCAUGGAUAUAACUAAGCCCUUUAGUUUGUAUUACACAACUUUAUUAUAACAUAUGCAAUUUUCUCUGUCUAGAUUUUCAUCCUGCAGGCAUUGGCGGUGAUGGUCUUUUCCGCUAUGGGACAAAUUUCCAUGAAAUUGAGGUUUGGGAACCAACACAUAAUUGUUGUAUCUUGAUUUUUCAAAAGGCUUGUCUACUGUGAGCUGAUGCUUUUUUGUUUCCAGAAAAUUGGUUAUGGUAACUUCAACCAGGUUUUCAAAGUCUUGAAGAGACUUGAUGGUUGCAUGUAUGCCGUAAAACAUAGCAUGAGACAGGAUGCAAAAAGGUAAUUUAAUUUAAUUUACUUGUAAUAAUCAGCUGCUUGUAUUUACGCCACUCGCUUUUUGCAGCAAACUUAUGUUUAACACUGUCACAGGUGCAAGGCUUUGAUGGAAGUUCAAGCUUUGGCAGCUUUAGGUUUGUUACAUUAUUAUAUUCUUUUUAUUUUUAUCCAAAGAUUGAGAUUUUUAAACUUUUCGAUUCCAAUUUUUCUCAGGGUACGUACCACGAGAAUAUAGUUGGCUAUUAUUCUUCGUGGUUUGAAAACAAGCAACUUUACAUCCAAUUGGAGCUAUGCGAGCACAACCUAUCUCUCGAUAGAAUACCUAAACUAUUCACAGAAAGAGAAGCUUUAGAGGCAAUGUAUCAGGUGAAUGAUUUUGAAUCUAUAACGUGACGUAAUUGUAGCUGAUUAUUAACUUUCUGUGGUUUGUUUAUUUUAUCUUGAUGAGUUAAAUAUUUAAUUAGAAUUGUUAAAGGCUGUUAGAUGGGAUUGACUAUGACCUUUCCCAGAGGAGAUUUUUCAUUGAAAAAAUUGCAUUCGUGCAGAUUGCUAAAGCAUUGCAGUUUAUACACGGGAGAGGAGUAGUCACUUGGACGUAAAGCCAGAAAACAUUUAUGUAAAAAAUGGAGUUUAUAAACUUGGUGAUUUUGGUUGUGCGACUGUCGUUGAUAAAAGCUGGCUAAUUGAAAAACGUGAUGCUCGGUACAUGCCCCAAGAAAUCCUGAACGAGAAUUAUGAAAAUCUAGACAAAGUUGAUAUAUUCUCGUCAGGAGCUUCCAUCUAUGAACUUGCAAGAGGGUCACCGUUACCUGAAUCAGGUUCUCAUUUCCUUACUUUUAGGGAAUGAAAGCUGCCCCUUCUUCCGUGUCGUUCAAUCCCGUUUCAGAAUUUAAUCAAGCUAAAUUACCUUCUGCUUUUAUGAUAUGAAAAGUAGGUCUUAAUCGAGGAUAUCCAAUCUGUCUUUACUAUUAAUGUUUGAUAAUUUUGGUGAAAACUAUCGUGAUAAUUAUGUUAAUAUAACAUUCGUUUCUUUGAGUUAUAUAGACUUGGUGUAACAACCUACAGAGCAAAAUUAAAAAUUCGAGUUUUCAGAAAACUAUAUGCAGGGAAAGCUUGAGUUGAGCAUUUUAAAUGUUAAUUAUUAAUUUAUAGUGAGCAUGUUCGAUAAAAGCGCUUUGCAUUGCUACAGAUUAACUUGCGUACUGGUAUUCGAUUUUCUUUUGAUUUGUUAAUCAUUCAGAUGAUGAUGGAUGCAGAUCCUGUUCGUAGACCAACAACCAAAGAAGUAGUUAAGAAUCCAUUUUUUUACAGGAUUGGAAAGAACAAAUAAAUCAAAAGAAAACAAGUAUUUAAUUAGGUUUCUAGCAAAACUUUGCCGCCGAGGUUCAAAUGUUUAAAUUUUUUUAGUCUAACAUUUUUUUUUGAUUCGGUAUUUUAUUUGAAAUAUGUUUUUAGAUGAUCAAUCUAUACUGCUACAACAAACUGCAGGAUGUGUUUGAAGUUGUUUCCCUUUCCUUUGAAGAUUCUAAGUAGCUUGUCAAUAAUUUCGCCACUACCCGGUGAGUUUCAUGAUAAUUACCACUGUUGUUCUGUUUUUGCUUUUCCAUUGUUACUACUGUUUUCUGUCGGUCUUUGAAUAUUAAUAUUCAAAUUAUGUGGUGAACAACAGGUUGUAGAGUUUAGACAAGUUAUAACUUUCCAAGUUCUCGUGUUAUUUAUCCUUUCGUGCAAACGUCUCAUCUUAGUGUCUACCUUUCUAAGGGGAAACAACUCCUUCGUUUGUUUGCUCGCUAUUUUUUUUUUCUUCAUUGAUAAUGGUAGACUGUUAUUUUUGGUCGAUUAUUUAUGUUUUAUAUUUAUUUUUUUGGAUGUAUGCACAUGGAUUCUGCUACCGAUUUUUAAUUUCCCUUGUCGAUUUUCAGUUGGUGUUUCAAUUUCAAUUGAAACACUUAGCUUUCAGAUCUGCUCGUGUGUGAUGGCUGCAGUGUGUGUCCUCGAAACUGCCUCGACCCAAGAACUGUUUAAAGGUAAUUUUUGUGCUUCUCGUAUUUUAUUCGAUGUUAGGAACAGUAAAAGUAAAUUAUGCCAUUUUACGUGUCUAUGGCUCUGAUGGGAAAAAUGGACUUCAAGGGCAGGCCCCCUUUGCGAUGCCGAAACUUCGCGGGCAUGCAUAUGGCUUUUAGUUUCAAUUUGUGAGAGUCACAUUGCGUGUUUAUUUGCUAUUUAUGCAUUGCCAAUUAACUAUGGGAGUUCGAUUGAUGUUACAAUUAAUUGUCCACAAUUUAGAAAUGACUCAAAGUUAGGUGCUAUCUAAUGGUAUAUAUAAUGGAGCAUGCUUUGUUUCUCUUGAACUUUUCAUAUAGUGAUGACCCUUUUUUCUACUUCUUGCAUGCUUGUUUUAUUUCUGUGGGAGUUAGUUUGCUUCGGUUAUAGUUGGACUUUAAAUUAUUUAUGCUUAUAUCUUUAUAUUCGUGAUUUUUACAAGUAUUUAUUUAAUUUUGACUCGAUAGUUUAUUCUAAAGGUGUGAUGAUAGGAGUCACAACAUGGGCUUCAAAUAUAGGGUUUGAUCUAAUCAGAUGUUAUUUUCAUACUUCGACUGAAUUGAGGUUCAGUUCUUAAUUGAAGCCUUGCUAAAUAACACGAUAAAAAUUGCCUUUUGCCUGGUAUUUUGGCUUUGUAUGUUGAAAACAUGCUGCAGAACCACCUCGUUGAUUUCAAAUUGCAGCAAAGUCUAUUGACCUUCUUGUUGGACAGAGCAGAAGUGUUAGUUUUUGCCUAUGCAUACGGUAACAAAAAUGGUACGUAAUUUCAUUUGUAAAUCAAUCCAUAUUACAGUACAAAAAACUGGUUAAAAUUGUUGAGCUUUUCUGACCCUUUUAUGGUUUCUUUGCAUAAUGCAUAUGUUAGUAUCUUAUAAUACUUGUGGAAUUUGCCUAAACACCGCCUACCAUGCAAUUAUUGAGAUUUUCCUAAACACUUAUUUCCUCCAUCAUAUAUCUCGAUCUUAUUUAUCAUGUUUUGAUUCUAUUGAUUAAUACUAUUGGUUCAUUUUUUUUAUCUUCUUCUUACAGUUUGUCCGUGUUAUUAUACGCCUCUGUCCUUUAUUUUCUUUGCCCUUCUUUUCACGAUGUGUAUGAUCGACCUGUUUGCUUCUUCUUUUCUCUUUUCUUUUGUUCUCGAUUUUUUUCUUCUCUUGCUUCUUUGUCCUCAAUCGUCGCCUGCAAUUGCUGAAUCGCCGUUGAAUAUUUUUCGAUUUUGCUUCCAGUUUUGGUUAUUCUCUAUGGGUGCAAGUUCCUGGGUCUGAAUUGGAUUUCUUACAAUCUUGUCAUUGGGUUUUUUUUUUUAAAUCAUUGAUUCUGUCAUGGUUAAUACAAGUAAUCUAUUUGUAUAGAACAUGCAGCCAUUUUUUCAUCUAUCUAACGAAUAUUGGAUUGCUAUUCUUGCACAAAAAGGCGAAAUCCCUCGCCCCCAGGGCCCCCAUCCCUUGGUCCGACAAGGAUUGAUGGAGGAAUGUAAAUCAUGGUAACUCAACGGCUCGUUAAGGUAGCGGACCUGGACCUGGUGCCCACAAGGAACCAACCCUCAUUGGAGUUGAAAUUCCCACACUGCGGAUGCCAGGAUUCGAUCCUAGGACCUGGCACCAACUUACCACCUAUGGAACCAGUUGAGCUACACCCAUGCGGGCAAUAUUGGAUUGCUAUUCUAUUUAUAUAUGCAGAUUUUUUCAAGAUAAAAGAAAAUUAGAUUGGCUGAAGAGAAUGAAGGUAGCUUGCGGUCACGGGAUUCAGUUUUUACACGACAAGGCGAAUUCACCAAUGAUGAACCUCGUCCUGAACUCAUCAAAAACUUUCCUUCACUUUUGUUAUAUAUACGUUCUGAAUGCUAACAUUUGACAGUUAAGAUAGCAAUUUAUUGUCAGAUCUUUCCGACUUCUUUAAUUCGAAAACCUGCACAUUAUUCCUUCUGCCGAACAAUCUUUGCCAAACAAUCUUUUAAUGUUUGACAUAAAAUAAUCUUUUAAUAUCGGACAUGAAUAGCCGGGAAUAGGCAUCACGCAGGGCACCGCGCCUUGCGCGGUGCUCGUUACUAGUUUAUAUAUAUAUAUAUAUAUAUAUAUAUAUAUAUAUAUAUAUAUAUAUAUAUAUAUAUAUAUAUAUAUAUAUAUAUAUAUAUAUAUAUAUAUAUAUAUAUAUAUAUAUAUAUAUAUAUAUAUAUAUAUAUAUAUAUAUAUAUAUAGAAUCCUAAAAUUUAAUAUAAGAAGAAAAUAUCUAAUGAAAUGACCCCCCAUAUAUGUUGUCAGGCCAUGUGAACAAGUUAUGGAGCACGUUCUUAGCAAUUACUCAAUCAAUCCUGGGAAAAUAAAUAAUGCCAAUUAUUAUCUCAGGAUAAAAUUAAAAUACUAGGUAAAAGAAAAAAAAAACUUCAAGUGUAGACAAUGACAAUAGCCCUUUGGCUUUUGGUAAAAGACACAAUAGAAAGUGAUACGUACAAGAAUCUAUGCAUAAAUAAUUAUUUUAUUUUAUUUGAUGAUAGCCUAGCUUUCGUAUUAUUGAUGUCGUUUUCGUUUUCUUGUAAUUCGCAUGGUUUUUUCUUCGACUAGCUAGGCCAUUUUACAUUAUGAUUAAAUGAAUGUUUGAUGAAUAAUAAAAUAAAAUUGGACAAAUUACGGCCACCCCCAGAAGUAAGGUCAAAUUACGAAAAAAUCCUAAUGUUUGGGUAAUUACAACCACCCUUUAACUAUGAUUGUUCUAACACGUCCACCCUUACGGUGUCAAAUUCAAUAGAAUCUAAAAGAUUCCAUGAAAUGUUCUCUAGUUUGUACUCAUUUUGUGCAAAAAUUCAGUUUUGGAUGCACCACAAUCUGAUAUUUACAAGUCAAGAGACACAUCUUAUGAUCAUCUUGUUUUAAAACGUGGAUCUAGAAUAGGAUAAAACGGGUACAGACGGAAGAAUAUUCCACUAGAACAUUACAAUAAAUUUGACACCGUAAGGGUGGACGUGUAAGAAAAUGGAAAAGUACAGUUUGCACCCCUGAACUAUGGGGUGUGUCACAAACACCUCCCUAUACUACAAAACGUAACAAAAAGACCCCUCCGUUUUUAAACCGUUUGUAAUGUGCUGAUGUGGCAGUUGACCCUCUCUUAUUUCAUUAUUUUGACAUUUUUACCCUUCACUUUGCUAUAUCUAUAUGAAUAAAAAGAUAUUUACAUUUUCAGUAUGAAGAUAUAUUUUUUCACCCCAAACUUAAAAUUGUAAAUAAGCAAAAUACUUAAAUUUAAAUUGAUUAUGUAUUCCAAUUUUAAUAAUUAUUUUAUUUCAUCCCAAAAUAUUUUAUAUCAUUAACUUAUUAAUAUAGUAACAUAUUCAAUUUAAUUAAUACAUAAACAAAAAAAUCAGAAGAAUAAAUAUUUUUUUUAGUGAGAGCAUAUGAAUUUUCUAAGAGCAUCUCCAAGAGUGUAAUGUAAACCUAUAUUAUACACAAUAUGAACAACCAAGAUCAAAAUAGUGAGCUCCAAGAGUAAAAUGCAUAAUUAACAAAUUGGCUAAUUUGUAACUUUGGCUUCUCAAAUUUGAGAAACCAAAACUACAAUUUAGCUAAUGCAAAAAAUAUUAAAAUAAUAUUAUAUUGUUCUUUAUAAUAUAUUUAUCAUUAAAAAGUAUUUUAUAUUGUCUUAUAUUUUUGCAAAUAACUGUACUAAAUAAGAAAUUUAUUAUUUUACUUAGUAUUAAUAAUAAAUAAAAUUAAAAAAUAUUUAUCAUUUUAAUUAACAUAAAAAUAUUUCAUAAUGAAUUAUAAAUUUUUUAAUGUUUAUUUAUAUAUAUCAAUUAAGUUAUUGAAAUUUCUUUUAUCAAAUUUAAAAUUAUUUUUGUAUACUUAUUAAUUAGUAUUAUUAUUUAUUAGUAUAUUAACUAAAAUAAAAGUCAAAUAAUUUUGUAAAACAAAAAUUAUUAAAUAUUCAACAAUUAAAUAUAUUGUUUAGAAUAAUACACAUUUUUAUUAAUAUAUAAUAAUAAUAAUUGAAUAUCAUGUAGAAAUUAUUUAAUAAAAAUAAUUAAAUAUUAUAAUUGUGUAAAAUAUAAACAAUGUUGUUGGAGCGCAAUGUUAAAAGUGGAGUGUUAAAACACUGUUCAUUUGUUAUAUUAUAGAUAUAGACAACCGUUUUUAGAUAAACUGUUGGAGAUGGCCUAACAAUAAGUUAUUACUCAAUUGAAAAUUUCCUCAAAUUCAAAAAACUUAAGCUCAAACUAAAGACCAUAAAUGAUUAAAGUAAAUUAAAUAUAAAAUUUAACAAAUUUAAUUACAGAAUAAAUCAACCCUUGCAUUCAAAUAUAGUUCACAUUUCGGCCACUCCAAUCAAGAAGCAAGAUUUAACCCAGAUGCAAUCAACCUAACAUUGCUUUAAAAUUUAACAAACCCACUACUUCCUCUGGCCAAGGAUGAAAAAAUAGUACGUCGUUGCAAGAAAAAAGGUCCGGCGAGCAGGGCCAUGGCUACAGGAAGUCGAAAACGACGGAGGAGUGAACUGGGUGAAACCGUAACGGAAAAAGAAGCUUGAGAGGGAUGAAACAACAUAGGGAGAGGAAGGGGAGAAAAAACCUCUGCCGGAAAAUAUUUUCGCCGGAACGAAUGGCAUGGAAAAUCGAGAACUUAAUCCCUAUUAGAGGGAUGAGAGAAGUAUGGGAAAUGAGGAAGAAAAAAAGCAGGAGAUUUGUUGGUGGGGGUGAUGCGUAGAAAAUUGUGCAUAUUAAUAGGAAAUUGGGUCCAACAUUUCAAAUAUAUUUGAAGGGUAAAGAAGUAAAUGCAUAAGAAAACUGACGGUAUAAGUUGUUUACACGUUGACCACAAAUUAUAGGGGUUAUUUUGUUACGUUUUGUAGUCUAGGGGGGUGUUUGUGACAGACCCCAUAGUUAAGGGGUGCAAACCGUACUUUUCCCGUAAGAAAAUACAUAGUUAAGAGGUGGUUGUAAUUAGCCAAACAAUAUGAACUAUUUCGUAAUUUAAUAUGUACCUCAGGAUGUGACCGUAAUUUACCCAAAAAUAAAAUAAAUUCAACCUUUUUGCAUUGCAAGAAGAAAAGCAACAAGAAGGCACAACAAGAAGGAUGUUUGAUCAAAAAGUUUAAAGGGAAAAAAUGGACUUUAAAUUUAACCAAAAAGCUCAUAUAAAUAUUUGGUUUAUUGGUAGUAAUAAAGUAGAACAAUGUAAUCUCUUUCUAGUUCAAAUCAAAGUGUUAUUACAAAACGACAACAGAAAUUUGUGGUUAAGAUAUCUUAUCCCCUAAUAAUAAUAAAGACUGAAUUUUUAUUUUAUUUUUAAAUAUAAAUAAAAAAAUGGGCAUGUUUACAUAAUCACCAAAUUAAGAACACUAAUUAAUUCAAAGCUCCAAACAUAUAUAGAUUAAUUAAUGAUUUAUAAUAGGUAUCAGAUUUUCAUAGAUUCAAUAAAUAAAAAUCAACAAUUAAAUUCAAAUUGUUUUUUAUUCUGCUACCGAUUAUAAAUCAGAACUCGAUUUUGCCCCAGUAACUAUCACUCGCGACCCGAUUCGAGAGCCAACUCGAAUAGUCCUAGAGCAAGUAGUCGAGGUAGGCCCGGUUCAUCAUGGGCUGGCCGGAACCCUUGCCGGUGACGGCGUAGGCGAAGAUGACGAAGCCGAGUAGGGUGGCAAUGAUGAUAAACAUGGCCCACCAGUAGAGGUACAUGAGGAAGUUUUUCCAGUAGCAGGCGCCGGCGAAUCCGGCGAGGGAGACGACCAUGAUGGGGACGCCAAUUAUUAUGAGCGGCCACUGGAAGAACUUCAGGCAGUCGGUCUUGUUCGCGCGGCUGCUCAGCCAUAUUCCGCCGCCGACGAUGGGGAUCGACAGGACGAAGGUGAGGAAGUUCAGGGCGCCUAUUAGGUGGUUGCUCGUUCUCAUGGCGGCGGCGGUGGCGGUGGUUGUAAAUUUUUUUGAAAUUUAAUUUUGUCUUACAAGAGAGAGAGAGAGAGUACUGCUGUAUUUAUUGGGGAGCAGAUAUAUAAUGG
rnacentral:lncRNA from 1 species